rnacentral:rRNA from 1 species
GAUGAACGCUGGCGGCGUGCUUAACACAUGCAAGUCGAACGGUGAAGCCAAGCUUGCUUGGUGGAUCAGUGGCGAACGGGUGAGUAACACGUGAGCAACCUGCCCUGGACUCUGGGAUAAGCGCUGGAAACGGCGUCUAAUACUGGAUAUGAGCCUCUUCCGCAUGGUGGGGGUUGGAAAGAUUUUUUGGUCUGGGAUGGGCUCGCGGCCUAUCAGCUUGUUGGUGAGGUAAUGGCUCACCAAGGCGUCGACGGGUAGCCGGCCUGAGAGGGUGACCGGCAACCGGGGGAUGGAGAACAGGCCAAGCCUCCGAGGGGGGCCAGCAGUGGGGAAUAUGGCACAAUGGGAGAAGGCGGAAUGCAGCAACGCCGGGGGAGGGAGGCCGGCUUUCGGUUGAAAAACCUCUUUUGGAGGGGAAGAAGCAAAGGUGAGGCUCCCGGCAAAAAAAGCGCCGGCUAACUACGUG